CUUCUACUCCUCCAGCAUGAUUCAACAUACAAGAGUAAACUGUCUUAUUGAAGUUGCAAUCCGUUCUUGCAGUGAGCAAAUAAUCUGCUGUAUUUUGGGCAUCAGGUCCACAAAGAUAGAAUUUUCCAAGUUGGAAAGAACCACGCAGGGCGUUCCCAACCUUGGUACUCUUCCAUAAUAGCACCUUUCUCAACAAGUAACUGUGGUAAAUGAGCAAGUGAGUAAAAGGACAACUUGUUUUUGUUCAUUGCGUGUUCACUAAAUAUUGACAUCAUUAGAUAAAGAACAGUAUGUAUCUUACACUGUGAAAUGGAUCCAAUUUAAGAUUUCUACCACUUAAUGGUUGAUCAUGUGGAAAUGCAAUGCUAUAAUUCUUUGCAUAGGCUUCAUGACACCUUUCGCGUAUCCAGACCGCAUUGUUUCUUUGUUCUGGUGAAAAUCUGUGAAACGAAUAAACAAACAAGUACAAAAAGUAUUAAUAUAAUUGGAUAGAAUUGAAACAGG